CAGAUUGAACGCUGGCGGCAGGCUUAACACAUGCAAGUCGAGCGGGGAAAUGUAGCUUGCUGCAUUACCUAGCGGCGGACGGAUGAGUAAUGCUUAGGAAUCUGCCUAUUAGUGGGGGACAACAUCUCGAAAGGGAUGCUAAUACCGCAUACGUCCUACGGGAGAAAGCAGGGGACCUUCGGGCCUUGCGCUAAUAGAUGAGCCUAAGUCGGAUUAGCUAGUUGGUGGGGUAAAGGCCUACCAAGGCGACGAUCUGCAGCGGGUCUGAGAGGAUGAUCCGCCACACUGGGACUGAGACACGGCCCAGACUCCUACGGGAGGCAGCAGUGGGGAAUAUUGGACAAUGGGGGGAACCCUGAUCCAGCCAUGCCGCGUGUGUGGAGAAGGCCUUUUGGUUGUAAAGCACUUUAAGCGGGGAGGAGGCUACCGAGAUUAAUACUCUUGGGUAGUGGACGUUACUCGCAGAAUAAGCACCGGCUAACUCUGUGCCAGCAGCGGC
rnacentral:rRNA from 1 species